rnacentral:lncRNA from 1 species
UUCCUGGCCUCUCUUCCCAAUGGAAAGGUACGCCGUUCUGAUCAUCUUCAUCUUCUCUAUAUUGUUGUCCCAUGAUGGAAAAAUCCUCAAAGCUGCGGUAGAACUCCGCCAUGCGAGAAGGGCUCGUGGGAGCACUCAGUGAGAAAUCUCCGAACCGCCGUGGGGAAGUUGGAGCGCUGAGGAACGGCAGCGGUCUUGCGUCGUUGAAAUUGAAACCCAUGCCUCCGCCUGGUGAUGAAGGUAACACAACUUCCAUUCUCGACAUGGUCUGAAUGAAGCUUUUUGAGUUUGGGAGAAUAUUAAUAGGAGUUGGGCCAUCUGGGAAUUGGGAGGGUUUGAAUUGAGGGUAAUAAUAAUAAAUAUGGAAUGAGGAAAAGAGAUGGAAAGGGGCGGUAGGAGAUUGUUGACUAUGAUUAUGAAGUCAUGCGACUGGUAGAGCCAAGCCGCCGACUUUUAAUACUCUCCUCGAUCAUUUGUCUGGUUUUCCUUUUUGUUUGUUUGUUUGUUUGCUUGCUUGGUUAGUUGGUUGCUGAUUUUUUAUUAAUGUGAAGACUGAAGAGUUUGAUUUCACACCGGGGAAAUAUGAAGGGGUUUCCCAAGUUUGGGAUAACGUUACGUACCAUAGGAACGCGGGAAAUAAAUAACGACAUACUGUUUUGUUUGGUAAAAUAGUGAAGUUUUGUGUUGUAAAUGGGUGGUAGGUAUACUGGACUGGACUAUACUAUGAUUAUGAUACGGGGGGAGUAAUAAGGAUGUUAGGGUAAAAGACAGGUAACUUAAAUUUAGGAAUUGGAUUGGGCGUUCAAGCAAAGUGAAGUAGAGAAAGGGUAAGUAUUAAGAGGGCUAAGGCUAGAGAGUAGUCGUGUGGGUAAAUUUUCACUUCAGUUAUCUGAUGUAUGAGGUGUUUUUAUAAUUCUAUGUUGGUAAUCAUUGAUUGUGUACUGUGAGUCACAUAUGUUUUUCUUUUCAUAUCUAUGUUCCUCGUCGACUAACCCAUUGGUUAUUUUGAAAAGGUGAGCGUAUCACCACCAAAAAACCAAAUGGUGAGCAUAGGCUACGGUAUAAUUUAAGUCUCAAGGAAUCCCACGAAUCCAAGCUUCUUCUCCUUCUUUGCCUAACGAAUCUGGAAUAGUUUUUUCCGAUCAAGAACUUGGAUUAAACCCAGGUGGAGAAAUUUCUCCCAAUCAAGUGAAUGAAUCAAAAGGAACAGAACAGAGGAUGACCAACAAAAACCAUAUGGAGAACUUUGGAGCACGAACAGUUAAGUGGGUGAUACAUCAGUUGGUGACGAAUAAAAUAGCAAUGGGAGUGCUGAUAUGGGAUUUCAAAGGGCAAGUUUCUUCAACCCAGAACUGGAAAAAUAACGGCGGUGACGAAAUCGGAGAAAUCGGGAAGAAGGAAGAAGAAGAUGAAGAGAAUCAAAAGAGAAGGGUCUUCAUUAGCUGCGGCGGCAGAUGAGAGGAGGAGAACCACUGCUGCCGUGCGUUAGGAUUAAUUCUUAAUAAUUAUUUUAUGAUCAUAUUUAAUUAUUUUUAAGGAAUAAUGACAUGGCAGAUUUUGGUGGGAUCUUAUAUAGAAAUUUUGCCACAUCAGCUGCCAUGUUGCAGUUUAUAUGUCAUGUGUAGACUGAUUUGUCAACUUCAACUAACGGAAAGCAAAAAACAACUAGCGACGUGUCAGGUUUUAAUAAAAUUUAGAUAGUUCAAGAGUAAAUUUUAAAAGGUUGUGUAUAUCCGUA